CUCCAUUGGACCCAAGGUACUACAUGUACUUUGUUACUGCUAUGCUGCAAUAAACAUCUUCAUUGAGAUCUUCAACGUCCUCAUCAAUUUUUCUUACAUUGGCGAGCCACCCACCGAGGGAAUUCCCAAAAAAGCAGGAAAAGGUAAAAGCAUCAAGAUGUUUGUUGGAAAGGUGUACCCUCCUAGAGAAAGAUGAUCCAGUCAUCUGAUGGACAAGAAGGCCAGCAGAACCAGUGGAGCCAGGGGACCUCCAGAAGAAAAAAAGGACUUCUUAAAGAACAUAGUGAUCAUCAGAAACAGAAAUCAAGAGAUUUCCAGACCUACAAGAUCCAGAACUCCAAACCUAAAAGAUCUAGAAACCCUGAGACCCACCAAUGCCACAGACUACCACAACACCAAUAACUGCUUCAUUCAGAAGGACUCUUCCAAACUGAAAAGAAUGGACAUUGGAAAAGAGAACCAAGGAGAGAUCAAACCAUUUUCAGAGACUGAGGACAGCAGUCUUACCACUGUGAUGGAAAAGAAGUGGGCAAAGGACAUACCCACACUAAGAAAUGCAAAAAGACACAGACUCACAUGACACUAGAAAGACAAAUAUAUGCAUACUCGAAUGCAGAAAAUAUAUUAUUGUCUAUUGAAUGCACCCAUGUGGACAAAGGACGUCCACACUGAGAGAAUGGACACAAUGCAAGUGACAAAACAAACACACACACACACACGUCCACACCACACCGUGUUGCCUGUUGAUUGAUGUUUUUGCUCCUUUGGCUUUUGACAAUGUUUGUACUGUCAUAAUGUUUAGUACAUUUAGAAAUUCCCUUUUGCUGUUAUGGUUCUCAAGGGCUCCUCUCCCAAACCCCAAAAAAUGUUUGUAUGUCAUUUUGCCAAAUUUGAGAAAAGUCUCUAUGAUAAAUUUUGCUUUGGAUGGAGCGAUAACCAGUGUGCAUGAGGUGAUGACCCAAUGACGGGUGAGAUUUUCCUUUGGCCAGAGGGGGACAAGCUAAGGCAGGGCUUCACCGCAACUGGGCACCUGCCCUGGAAGGGAGGUGUAAUCUGUGUAAGGGAGUGAAUGCGAUGCUUCUUUUGGGCCAAGAGCAUCUAAGAGUGGACUGUAAGAAAUUAUAGUCUGCCUCGACCCAGCUUCCACUCCAAAAUAUGUUUGAUCAUGCUCAUUUCCCAAAAUGGCUUAAUUAUUAUAGAGAAGAAGAAAUUCAUCAGUUAUGUUGUUUGUAGACCAUUUGGGAUGAUCAAAUCCUGAGCAAAUGGUGACCAAUUGUAGAAUGGGACAGGUGUGGGACACUGAGAACCACCUCAGACAAAGGGGUGUCAGAACUUAAUCAACAUACAGACCACAGCUGUUACAACAGGAGCAACUUCAUUUACAUGAAGGGUAGUAAACUGACAAUGUAUAAAUGUUAGGAUGUUCUGAGUUCAUUCUGACUCCGUUGAACCCAAGGUACUACAUGUACUUUGUCACUGCUAUGCUGCAAUAAACAUCUUCAUCGAGA